rnacentral:rRNA from 1 species
UACAGAGGGGGCAAGCGUUGUUCGGAAUUACUGGGCGUAAAGGGCGCGUAGGCGGCCUGCUAAGUCGAACGUGAAAUCCCUGGGCUCAACCCAGGAACGGCGUCCGAUACUGGUUGGCUUGAAUCCGGGAGAGGGAUGUGGAAUUCCAGGUGUAGCGGUGAAAUGCGUAGAUAUCUGGAGGAACACCGGUGGCGAAGGCGACAUCCUGGACCGGUAUUGACGCUGAGGCGCGAAAGCCAGGGGAGCAAACGGG